UAGUCCACGCCGUAAACGAUGUUCACUCGCUGUCUGCGAUACACAGUAGGCGGCUGAGCGAAAGCAUUAAGUGAACCACCUGGGGAGUACGAUCGCAAGGUUGAAACUCAAAGGAAUUGACGGGGGCCCGCACAAGCGGAGGAACAUGUGGUUUAAUUCGAUGAUACGCGAGGAACCUUACCUGGGCUUAAAUGUAGAUUGCAUAAGGUGGAAACACUUUUUCCCUUCGGGGCUAUUUACAAGGUGCUGCAUGGUUGUCGUCAGCUCGUGCCGUGAGGUGUCGGGUUAAGUCCCAUAACGAGCGCAACCCUUACCGUUAGUUGCCAUCAGGUCAAGCUGGGGACUCUAGCGGAACUGCCACCGUAAGGUGAGAGGAAGGUGGGGAUGACGUCAAAUCAGCACGGCCCUUAUGUCCAGGGCUACACACGUGUUACAAUGGCCGAUACAAAGGGCAGCUACCAGGCAACUGGAUGCUAAUCUCUAAAGUCGGUCCCAGUUCGGUUGGAGUCUGCAACUCGA
rnacentral:rRNA from 1 species